GAUGAACGCUGGCGGCGUGCCUAAUACAUGCAAGUAGAACGCUGAAGCUUGGUGCUUGCACCGAGCGGAUGAGUUGCGAACGGGUGAGUAACGCGUAGGUAACCUGCCUCUUAGCGGGGGAUAACUAUUGGAAACGAUAGCUAAUACCGCAUAAAAGUCGAUAUCGCAUGAUAUUGACUUGAAAGGUGCAAUUGCAUCACUAAGAGAUGGACCUGCGUUGUAUUAGCUAGUUGGUGAGGUAACGGCUCACCAAGGCGACGAUACAUAGCCGACCUGAGAGGGUGAUCGGCCACACUGGGACUGAGACACGGCCCAGACUCCUACGGGAGGCAGCAGUAGGGAAUCUUCGGCAAUGGACGGAAGUCUGACCGAGCAACGCCGCGUGAGUGAAGAAGGUUUUCGGAUCGUAAAGCUCUGUUGUAAGAGAAGAACGAGUGUGAGAGUGGAAAGUUCACACUGUGACGGUAACUUACCAGAAAGGGACGGCUAACUACGUGCCAGCAGCCGCGGUAAUA
rnacentral:rRNA from 1 species